rnacentral:rRNA from 1 species
UACGAAGGGGGCUAGCGUUGCUCGGAAUCACUGGGCGUAAAGCGCACGUAGGCGGAUUGCUAAGUCGGUGGUGAAAUCCUGGAGCUCAACUCCAGAACUGCCUUCGAUACUGAGAGUCUCGAGUCCGGGAGAGGUGAGUGGAACUGCGAGUGUAGAGGUGAAAUUCGUAGAUAUUCGCAAGAACACCAGUGGCGAAGGCGGCUCACUGGCCCGGUACUGACGCUGAGGUGCGAAAGCGUGGGGAGCAAACAGG